GCUUGUACUCUUCGGACGCGUAGUAAUUUACGCAUUUUAAUUUCGUUUAUAAUUUAAAAUUGUGCAUAAAUUUUGCAUCUAAAGUACUCGCGUAUUAUUUUUAAGUGUUUUCAAUAUAUACGUUCUAUUUGUAAACGAUUUUCAAUACGUUUAUUCGCGUAGUGAUAGUUUAUUACAUAUUUUUCGUGUUCAAAGUAAAUACGUUUAUCGCGAGUGUUUCGAUCGAAAGUACGUUUUAUUCGAAAGUGUUUCUUCGCGAUAGUUUCGUGUUUUUUAUUCGCGAGUGUUGGUAAAUUUCGUCGAUUACGAUGGAUCUAUUGAUGGAUAGAAGGAAAGCGUUGAAGGAAGCCACAAACAAGCUGUAUAAAUGCGUGAAAGCUACGAAUGAUUCGGCCUGUUAAAGAUACAUUAACGAUACAUUAACACUCCUCAAUACGAUAGACACACUCCAAGUGAUAACAAAUGAAUUUAGCGGAGAAUGGUGGAGGAGUAAUUAAUGGGAGAAUUUUCGUUUCGCUAUCGUUAUUCAGUUCGGCCGGCGCGGAAAGACAGGGUGCAGGUGUUGCCUGUGUCAGAUAAUGGCUCGGCUAUCUGCACAUCCGCUAAUUCGGGAUAGGAGCUCGCCGGCAAAAUCCUGACAGCAGGGAGUUUUGGCCGAGUGGUCGCCACACCACUAGAUAGAUAGAUAGAUAGAGAGAGAGAGAGAGAGAGAGAGAACUGGUAAUUGGUGUCUGAAAGCUGUUUUCACCCGGAAACCAAUCGUCCUCCUCUUCGACGAAACUUUCGCAGCGGAGUUUCCAGAUGUAGACCAUCCACCGUCGUGUAACCAAUCGUCGAAACCGUGCCACCCAGCAACCCGUGGAAGAAAAAUUGCGGCCGGUGAAGCGCGAAAACUGUGCAGGGAACACGUGGAAAAGUUUGGUGGCCGUGGUUGGCUAGCGUGAAACCGCAUCACUUUUCUGAUCGCCGAUAUCACGGGAAUACUCUGAUUGAACCGUUACAGAAACGUUACAGAACAGAAAAAAACCUUUAGGGAUGAAAAUCCAGAGCAGCACAACUGACCACAGCCACUAGCUUCGUACGUACACGAAACGAGCCGGCCACAUUCACGAGCGAGCUCCCAGGAGUCGUAUAGUUGGUGACUAGUAAUUAGCUAGACGAGUGACACUAUCUCCUUUAUCACUCCCCGUGGAUACAACGAGCACGCGAUAUCCUAGCUCAGGCCUCGUAUACAUUCGUUUCCUAUAAUUUAGCGUACGUAUAAUUCCUUGUUAUCGGAUCAAUCAUAACGUAUAAUUCACGUAGGUA